rnacentral:rRNA from 1 species
GACAGAGGAUGUAAGCGUUAUCCGGAAUGAUUGGGCGUAAAGCGUCUGUAGGUGGCUUUUUAAGUCCGCCGUCAAAUCCCAGGGCUCAACCCUGGACAGGCGGUGGAAACUACCAAGCUGGAGUACGGUAGGGGCAGAGGGAAUUUCCGGUGGAGCGGUGAAAUGCGUAGAUAUCGGGAGGAACAUCCGUGGCGAAGGCGGCUACCUGGACCAGCACUGACACUGAGGCACGAAAGCGUGGGGAGCAAACAGG